UUGCAUGGCAUACAAUCUUAGCUACGUUU
rnacentral:piRNA from 1 species